rnacentral:rRNA from 1 species
AGAGUUUGAUCCUGGCUCAGGACGAACGCUGGCGGCGUGCCUAAUACAUGCAAGUCGAACGCAUUUUCUUUCACCGUAGCUUGCUACACCGGAAGAAAAUGAGUGGCGAACGGGUGAGUAACACGUGGGUAACCUGCCCAUCAGCGGGGAAUAACACUUGGAAACAGGUGCUAAUACCGCAUAAUUCCAUCUACCGCAUGGUAGAUGGAUGAAAGGCGCUUUUGCGUCACUGAUGGAUGGACCCGCGGUGCAUUAGCUAGUUGGUGGGGUAACGGCCUACCAAGGCUGCGAUGCAUAGCCGACCUGAGAGGGUGAUCGGCCACACUGGGACUGAGACACGGCCCAGACUCCUACGGGAGGCAGCAGUAGGGAAUCUUCGGCAAUGGACGCAAGUCUGACCGAGCAACGCCGCGUGAGUGAAGAAGGUUUUCGGAUCGUAAAACUCUGUUGUUAGAGAAGAACAAGGAUGAGAGUGGAAAGUUCAUCCCUUGACGGUAUCUAACCAGAAAGCCACGGCUGACUACGUGCCAGCAGCCGCGGU